rnacentral:rRNA from 1 species
UACAGAGACCUCAAGCGUUAUCCGGAAUCAUUGGGCGUAAAGCGUACCGAUGGGUGGUUUACAAAGUCAGAGGUGAAAUCUCUCAGCUUAACUGGGAGACUGUCCUUGAUACUUGUAAGCUAGAGGGGCAAAGAGGAAGCUGGAACGAACGGUGUAGUAGUGAAAUGCGUUGAUAUCGUUCGGAACACCAAUAGCGUAGGCAAGCUUCUGGGUGCCACCUGACACUGCUAGGACGAAAGCGUGGGGAGCGAAGUGGG